CAUGAGUCUAUGCAUAUCAAAUUCACAAGAAUCGGAGUCCGUUUGACCCCUCAAAUCACUAGCUUAAACUAUUUUAAGUUUGAAGCCCUAACCUCCAUUUUUACCCUCUAAUUCCUUAAAUUUUCAGUGUUUGUCCAUGAUUUUACACCAUAAUAUCAUAAUCUAAGUCCAAAUACCCAUACCAGAUGAAAUCCCUCGAAAAUCUCUCAAAAAUCACCCGAAAACCCUCUUAGUCCGAAGUCCAAAGUGUUUGUUCUCUUUUAAUUUCGCAAAAUCACUGUUCACUUAAUCACAGCCCAGAUUCCGCUUCUGCGGUUCUAAUACCCCUUCUGCGGUACCGCUUUCGUGCCCCAAUAACCGCUUCUGCCAUUUUAAUUUAACUCCCCUAUGACUGUAUGCGACAAGGAUCCCGCUUCUGCAGAUCGCCCAUAUCCACUUAUGCGGACCCACUAAUGCGGACCAAGUUCCGCUUCUGCGGAACUUCUCAAUUCCACCCCAAAUCACUUAUGCGCUCCCUUAGCCAACCGCUUUUACGGUCCAUUUCCGUAGAAGCAGAAAUACCAGAUGACAAC
rnacentral:lncRNA from 1 species